UACAGAGGGUGCGAGCGUUGUCCGGAAUCACUGGGCGUAAAGGGCGCGUAGGUGGCGCUCCAAGUCUGUGGUGAAGCUACGAUGCUCAACAUCGAGUCGGCCAUAGAGACUGGAGGGCUCGAGCACUGUAGGGGCAGAUGGAAUUCCGGGUGUAGCGGUGGAAUGCGUAGAGAUCCGGAAGAACACCGGUGGCGAAGGCGGUCUGCUGGGCAGUUGCUGACACUGAGGCGCGGACAGCGUGGGGAGCAAACAGG
rnacentral:rRNA from 1 species